rnacentral:lncRNA from 1 species
GUCAUUGUCUGCUUCCAACUCUCAAACAUGUAGAUCCCCUGAACGCAGCUCACUUUCCAGAUCACCUGAAUUCCGAUCACCUGUUCACAGACCUACCUGUAUGUCAUUGUCUGCUUCCAACUCUCAAACGUGUAGAUCCCCUGAACGCAGCUCACUUUCCAGAUCACCUGAAUUCUGAUCACCUGUUCACACACCUGUAUGUCAUUAUCACACACUAUUUAGUUCAGUUCUUUGCACCCCAUCAUUGUGAGGUAUUGUUUGUUGUGUGACACGUCUAUUCGGAGCUCUGGUUUUCCCGUAAUCUAAAGCCUCCCGAGUACGAUAGUGAAGCAGGCUAAAACUAACGACGCCUUUUGCCUAGUCCCUGCCUGUACUUUCGGAUUUCCUGUUAGCAACCUGUUGCCUGAUCUCCCAGACGAUGUUACUAGCCUUUUCCCUGCCUGAACUGUUGCCUUUUUGGACCCCCUGUGUAUGACCUUCUGCCUGCCCCUGGACCCAGCUAUCUGCCGCCUCCUGUGGUCCUUUACAAAAACACCUGCUGCGCCCUGCGCUUGAAACCAGCUCUCUCCCAUCCUGUUCAUUACAGCAUCACUGGAUCAUGGAAGCUGCGUUGCAGCCCGUGCGCCGGUUGAGGGUGGCCGCUCCACCAUGUGAAGCUUCGUUGCAGCCCGGCCGCCCUCCACCCAGGGUUAAAGUGCAUGAGGCUCCCAAAUCAGCAGGUGCCAGGAGUGAGAGGGAAUGUUUGGCCACAGGUGUCGAGGGUCCGUCUGCGUCCGUGUGCCGGUUCCCAAUCAUCGCAGACCCAAAGAUGCCAUGAGUGAGGGAAUGUUUGGCCACAGGGGUUGAGGGUCUGUCCACAUCUACAGUUCGUGUGUUGACCACCUCAGUCCUGCAAACCCAGAAAGUGUUCAACGCAUUGGUUGGGCAGAUUGUGACUGAACUCGGAAGAAUACACAGGGUUUUGCUACAUUUACAUUGUUUUAUGUUUUCCACUACGUGAAUAAAAAAAAACCUAUGCUUUGUAUAUUGUCUGGCAUUGUUUCUUACCACAAAUCUCUGUAUGAGCUGCCACCACCUCACUGCAUCAGCUGGGACAGGUGCUCCAUUGGGUGGUGGGUUAUGAGGCUCUUAGGUGUCCCUUCUAAUCUCCAUGCCUUAGGGCUAUGUUGUGGCUCACACCACAUGCCAGUAUUAUGCGUGUCACCUUUGACUGGGGAGUAAAACCGUUAAUAAAACAGGCCAACAUUUUAUAUUUAGGUUUGAAAUUGCACACCCCAAUGUUCUUGUCGAACAAACUUACACUACAGUUACUGAGCUGUCCCCCUAAUCUGUUAACAUUUCAUUGCAAUGUUAGUGGAAAUGAUAGGAAUCAGCUGAUUCCAUUCGAUUACACUAGCAUUGCUACAAAAAUGAACAAGCUUCAAGGGGACAUCUCAGUAACUGUAGGGCCAGAUUAAAAACUAUUUGGCCAGAACCUUGGUGUGCAAUUUCAAUAAUGUUAUGUUGCAAGUUGACUAAUUUUAAGUUUUCAAUUUUUAUUAAAUAAAGUUACCUUCUGGCUUGUAGAGGAGUUUUCCACCUGAUGCAUCAAGGCAACGCCACCUGCCAUUCAGCAGUCCGAUGGUGCGCACCACAACCAACCUUGUUCUGCUGUGUGCCAAAUUGUGAGGUUUACUCUGCUGCGGCGCAGAAUGAACAAGUCGUGCGUAGACCCUGGCCACUUGGAGCAUGCAUUGAGUAGUUGCACACGGGCAUCACAGAUCUGAACACUUAACAUACUGUUCAAAAGUUUGGGGUCAAUUAAAUGUUUUUGAAAGAGAAGCAUAUUUUUAUCAAAUUGAUCAGAUAGUGUAGACAUUUAAUGUUGGAAAUGACUUGUUGGAAACAGAUUUUUUUUAAUGGAAUAUCUACAUAGGCCCUUUUAUCAGCAACCAUCUCUCCUGUGUUCCAAUGGCAUGUGUUAGCUAAUCCAAGUUUAUAAUUUUAAAA